CGGCCCUGGGCCAGUGCCAGCGGUGCGACCGCACUGGGCCUCAGGAAUUAGGGGGCCUCCAAAAAUUAGUGUGCUAAUAGGCCUCACAAGUAUCAACUAAGCCCAGUUAGUCACAAGUAGGCCUGUUAAAGAGGAAGAUCGAUCGAUCGACUCCGCCGUCCAUCCGGCUGCCCUCCUCGUUGCGCCUCCUGCCCUCCUCGACUUCUUCGCGUCGCGACUCGCGAGACGCUCGGUCACCGGCCGCCGCGCAAUCUGCAGAUCACUGCCGCUGCUAGCUUGUGCCCGAUUGCCAAUUUGCCAUUGCCGAUCAAAUUUGUAGGGUCACCCAAUCAAAUCACAUGUCUUCCAGUAGAAAGUUUGCAUCCGGCAGUGAGAAAAGAAGAAAAAAGAAACGUCAAGAUGAGUUGAUUCAAUCACAGAAAGGUGCUAUGGACAAAUUUAUUCAGAAAAAGAAACCAGACCCUUCAACGAACUGUUAGAAGAAAUUGUUUUAAAUGAUCUAGAGACAUUUCUCUUUUGUAUUUUAAACUUGUUAGUGUGAGAUUGGUUAAUGACACUGAAUUUUUCAAUAUUAUCUUGUAUUUUUAUGG